ensembl:lncRNA
AUGCCAGCGGCAGCGCCACUACACCCAUGGCAGUGGCCCAGCUGUCCGUGGUCCAGACUUCACCUGGAUUUUUGCUGGCCCAUUUAUGGGUCGGAUGUUUUUUUAGUGCUAGUGGAUGCACACUCCAAGUGGCUCGAGGCACAUAUCAUGUCAAAUAUUACUGCACCUACUACUACAGACACACUGAGAAGCAUUUUUCGCAACACAUGGACUGCCAGACACAAUUGUGACAGACAACGGGCCCACUUUUCACCAGUGAGGUUUUCAAGGAGUUUAUGGAUAGAAACGGGAUUCGUCAUGUCUGCACGGCCCCCUAUCAUCCCGCGUCCAACGGCUUGGCAGAGCGGGCUGUGGAGACUUUCAAAGAGGGGCUGCGGAAGAUGUCAGGACAAUCGCUGGAAACCAAGCUCGCACGCUUCCUGUUUCAAUACAGGAUUACUCCACACACAACUACGGGAGUGUCUCCAGCUGAGAUGUUGCUGGGGAGGAGACCAAAGUCUCAUCUGGACCUCCUCCAGCCAGACAUCAGAGCGAGGGUUGCCAGGUAUCAGGAGGAGCAAAAAGCAAGGCGGGACCAACAUGCCAAGGAGAGACAUUUUCACCCAGGGGGACAGAGUGUAUGUCAAGAACUUUGCCAUAGGUUCACCCUGGUUGCCAGGGGUAAUCCACCGCCAGACAGGGCCAGUAUCUUUUGUUGUGGAAUUAUGUGAUGGUAGGCAGGUGCGCAGGCACCAAGAUCACUUGCGGGUCCGCCAUGAUGGGGGAGGGAAGAGUUCUCACGGGGUUUCAUGCAAAGUCAGUGGGGGCGGCUCUGCAGAGGCCGUGCCAAUAGCUCCAGGGCACGCGGAAAUGUCACAUGAGGGCCUGUCUGAGCCCUCAGAGGAGGCACCUGAUGAAUUGUCGGAGCGGGCAGCUACGGCUGACCCUGCUCAGAGCCUACCUGGGGGACCAGAGCCUGCCUCCAGUGCGGAGGACACCAUUCCUGAGCUUAGGAGAUCUAAGAGACAACACAAGCCUCCAAACAGACUGACAUGUUGA